UGGCUCAGUGGUAGAGCACUUGCCUUGCAUGCCAGAGGCCCUGGGUUCGAUUCCUCAG
rfam:Dipodomys ordii contig_52019, whole genome shotgun sequence.